rnacentral:rRNA from 1 species
AAAUUGAAGAGUUUGAUCAUGGCUCAGAUUGAACGCUGGCGGCAGGCCUAACACAUGCAAGUCGAGCGGUAGCACAGAGAGCUUGCUCUCGGGUGACGAGCGGCGGACGGGUGAGUAAUGUCUGGGAAACUGCCUGAUGGAGGGGGAUAACUACUGGAAACGGUAGCUAAUACCGCAUAACGUCGCAAGACCAAAGUGGGGGACCUUCGGGCCUCAUGCCAUCAGAUGUGCCCAGAUGGGAUUAGCUAGUAGGUGGGGUAACGGCUCACCUAGGCGACGAUCCCUAGCUGGUCUGAGAGGAUGACCAGCCACACUGGAACUGAGACACGGUCCAGACUCCUACGGGAGGCAGCAGUGGGGAAUAUUGCACAAUGGGCGCAAGCCUGAUGCAGCCAUGCCGCGUGUGUGAAGAAGGCCUUCGGGUUGUAAAGCACUUUCAGCAGGGAGGAAGGCGUUAAGGUUAAUAACCUUGGCGAUUGACGUUACCCGCAGAAGAAGCACCGGCUAACUCCGUGCCAGCAGCCGCGGUAAUACGGAGGGUGCAAGCGUUAAUCGGAAUUACUGGGCGUAAAGCGCACGCAGGCGGUCUGUCAAGUCGGAUGUGAAAUCCCCGGGCUCAACCUGGGAACUGCAUUCGAAACUGGCAGGCUAGAGUCUUGUAGAGGGGGGUAGAAUUCCAGGUGUAGCGGUGAAAUGCGUAGAGAUCUGGAGGAAUACCGGUGGCGAAGGCGGCCCCCUGGACAAAGACUGACGCUCAGGUGCGAAAGCGUGGGGAGCAAACAGGAUUAGAUACCCUGGUAGUCCACGCCGUAAACGAUGUCGAUUUGGAGGUUGUGCCCUUGAGGCGUGGCUUCCGGAGCUAACGCGUUAAAUCGACCGCCUGGGGAGUACGGCCGCAAGGUUAAAACUCAAAUGAAUUGACGGGGGCCCGCACAAGCGGUGGAGCAUGUGGUUUAAUUCGAUGCAACGCGAAGAACCUUACCUGGUCUUGACAUCCACAGAACUUUCCAGAGAUGGAUUGGUGCCUUCGGGAACUGUGAGACAGGUGCUGCAUGGCUGUCGUCAGCUCGUGUUGUGAAAUGUUGGGUUAAGUCCCGCAACGAGCGCAACCCUUAUCCUUUGUUGCCAGCGGUUAGGCCGGGAACUCAAAGGAGACUGCCAGUGAUAAACUGGAGGAAGGUGGGGAUGACGUCAAGUCAUCAUGGCCCUUACGACCAGGGCUACACACGUGCUACAAUGGCAUAUACAAAGAGAAGCGACCUCGCGAGAGCAAGCGGACCUCAUAAAGUAUGUCGUAGUCCGGAUUGGAGUCUGCAACUCGACUCCAUGAAGUCGGAAUCGCUAGUAAUCGUAGAUCAGAAUGCUACGGUGAAUACGUUCCCGGGCCUUGUACACACCGCCCGUCACACCAUGGGAGUGGGUUGCAAAAGAAGUAGGUAGCUUAACCUUCGGGAGGGCGCUUACCACUUUGUGAUUCAUGACUGGGGUGAAGUCGUAACAAGGUAACCGUAGGGGAACCUGCGGUUGGAUCACCUCCUUACCUUAAAGAA